UACGGGGGGUGCGGAGCGUUGUCCGGAAUCACUGGGCGUAAAGCGUGACGCAGGCGGUGAUGUAAGACAGUUGUGAAAUCCCCGGGCUCAACCUGGGAACUGCAUCUGUGACUGCAUCGCUGGAGUGCGGCAGAGGGGGAUGGAAUUCCGCGUGUAGCAGUGAAAUGCGUAGAUAUGCGGAGGAACACCGAUGGCGAAGGCAAUCCCCUGGGCCUGCACUGACGCUCAUGCACGAAAGCGUGGGGAGCAAACAGG
rnacentral:rRNA from 1 species